UACGGAGGGAGCUAGCGUUGUUCGGAAUUACUGGGCGUAGAGCGCGCGUAGGCGGCUUUGUAAGUUAGAGGUGAAAGCCCGGGGCUCAACCCCGGAACUGCCUUUAAGACUGCAUCGCUUGAAUCCGGGAGAGGUGAGUGGAAUUCCGAGUGUAGAGGUGAAAUUCGUAGAUAUUCGGAAGAACACCAGUGGCGAAGGCGGCUCACUGGACCGGUAUUGACGCUGAUGUGCGAAAGCGUGGGGAGCAAACAGG
rnacentral:rRNA from 1 species